GAGAGCGAAGAGCCCAGGGGCGAUAGAGGCUGGAUUUGGGCUUCGGCCUGGCUCUUGCGGAGCUGUUGGCGCUGCGGGUCGGAUCGCCUUGGGGAGCGGUGCCAGGCCUCAAGGUCAAACCCCUGACUGCUGCCGUUACGACCCGCGCUCGAGCGCCCGCCCCAAAUCCCGAGAUGCGCGGGUCUCUAGGCCAAGAUCUCUGUUCCCGCGGGAUCUCGGGCUGGCGUGAGGCGGAGCCGGCCUGCGCGCGGCAUCCACUGGUACGUGGUAGGAUUAUUUUUCCCACCUCCUUGAAGAUAGGCAUGGUCAUGGGAUUUGCUUUGACCAGUGAAAUGUAAGAGAAGCAUGAGAGCCACACAUUAACUUCUCCUGCCACGUGAGUGUUGAUGUUCAAAUGGUGGACGCUCCAUCUGCCUGAUGAGGAUGACAAUCUGAGUCCCCUGCUUGUCAGCUACUUUAUCCCAGAUGGACUUUUAGUAUGCAUGAGAAAUAAAUCUUUGUUGGUGUCAAGACAUGGAGAUUUUAUUAUUAUUCCAUCCAUAGUAUAGUCCAGUGCUUCUCCAACUUUAAUGUGAUAUUAGUUACCUGAAUAAUUUUCUAAAAUGCAGAUUAUAAUUCUGUAGGUCUGGAUGGGGACUGAGAUUCUGCAUUUCUGACAAGCCCCCAGAUGCUGCUGAUGCUGCAAGACCCUGGACCACACUCUGAAUAGCAAGGACCUAACCCAUCCUGACAGUCUGAUACACUCCUCUCUAUACAUCUACACACACUCUAUCCUACAUCUCAAAAGCACUAAACCUUCCCAAGAAACAAAUUAGCAAGCAAAGAGACAACUUUCUUGGUAAUAUUCUUUCUAAACCCUCAAUAACUUUCCACACUUAACUCCUCAAUCAGGCACUGCAGACUACUAUUUUCUUAUAUUCCUAGGACAAUUGUUUUCUACACUCUUGCUUCUAGAUCCUGUCAUUUUUUUUCACAUAUCUAUGAGACUACUAGUUGUCUCAAUUUCAAGUCUCAUUUAUUUCCUUUAGUAAUCAAAACCCCCAAGUUUUAGCUUGGGCUGAUAGCUUCCCCACUGAAGUCCACAUUAUCCCCAGCUUCCCUUGCAGCUAGCAUUGGCUCUGUGACUAAGUUUUGGCUAGUGGGAUGUGAGUGUAAGUGACAUGAAACAUCUGGGUUCUGCCUUUAAAAGGGAAGAUUGUGUCCUCUUUGAAUAUUUUCCUCAUUUUUUCCCUUGUCAUCUAAAAUACAUACCCAGAAGAUGUCAACCAUUUUUGGCCAUGAGGAUAAGGCCUAUUUCCUAGCAUGCGGCAAAGCAAAAGGUAGAAGAAAGCUGCUGCCUUAUGGGUAACAAGAGUACCAUUGAACUACUCAUGUUCUGAUACAUGAGAGAACUUGUUUAAGCAAUUGCUGUAGUCUGAAUCUUUGUUAUAGCAGCUGAUUUCUAUCCUAACCAACACAUGUUCUUCCCCAGAAUGCACUUCUCCUUUUGUUCUUACAAAAGUUUCAUUGUUAAAGAUCCAAAACAGAUCCCACUACUCCUUCCUCUUUCCCUGAAUUGCCAUUGUACAUCACCAGCAUGAGGUAUGAUUAUAGUAUAUUAUGAUUCUAGCAGCCACGCAUGAAAAUAAAACUGAUUUCUUUACAAUCACUUAAAGAGAAAUUGCUUCUUAAGUUAUGAAGAAUAGAUCAUAAGAGCUUUAGGGAUUCAGAGAUGGGUCAAUCACUGAGGACUGAAGGGAUGAGAAGAUAUUAUAUAUUUAAGCAAUUUCAAACUGAAGAAUGUAUAAGGAAGGCUUCCCAAGGGGUCUGGGGGGACAAUUUCAAGGGAAUCAAUUUGCUGUUAUUCAUCUGCAUCUUUCUUAAAACUCAUCUUCCAGAAAAUACAGUUGAGACAGUUCUUUCCUUCCUCCCAUUUCUCAGUCUGUUCUCUCACCUUACAAAAGAAAAGUGUGCCUUUUCCUGUCCUUCAUCUUGUUAUAUUUGAUUACCUGGUGUGUAAAAAUGUCCAGGUAACCAAGCGAUCCAGGUGUUAACAGGCCCUCUUUAAUCAAGAUACAACUGUAGACUUCAUGUCUUUCUCUGACUUACAUAUAUUUCUCUUAGGGCAAAACAUGUUUUAGGAAUGGGUAUUUUGGUCCUUGUGGGAUAUUCAGUGCAUACAUAUAUUGUACAAUGAAGCAUUGGGCUUUUAAUUUACAUGACCUAUUCUAACCCCUGACUUUUAUCAAAGAAUACAUUCUUUUUUGGGGAGAUUUCCCUUAGAACAAAGCAAAAUGAGCAUAAUUAGAUACAAAGGUGGUAGUGCUUUAUUUCAUUCAGGUGUCAUAUUCAUGGCAAGGUCUAUGUCAUCUAUCUUGGGGCUAGGAUAUUCAGGAUUUUUGGAAAUACAUCUUGGGAAGCAAUAAUGUGCCACAAAGUGCAAUGCUCCUUCCCUGGUCAGAGACAAGAAAGAGCUGAGUGAUACGCUUCAUUUACUCAUGUCUCAACUUGGGUCUAAAUUUAAUAUUUUGUAUUAUUUCUGGAAGUAUAGGGUAAGUUUAGUUUUCACAGAUCAACAUCGUUAAAAUUGUUACUUUUAUGUUAUGUGACUUUUGCUUCAAUUUAAAAAACAAAAGAUUGACAAGCACCCAACAGAUGAACUGAAUAAGCAUCUCAUCCUCUCAAAUGUCUAUGCCUCUGCAAUUCCAAGCAGCAGCUCUAAACCAGUCAUACUGCAACUCCCAGGUUGCCCCACAUCGACUUGAAGAAAAUCUACUUUGUACCAAAAUGAAAGAUGGGGAAAGUGACUGCUAAUGGAUACAAAGUUUCUUUUUGGUUGGUGCAAAUGUUUUAAAAUUAUAUUGUGACGAUAGUUGCACAACUCUGUGAAUAUACUAAAAACCAUUGAAUUGGGUGAACUUUUUGUAUAAGAAUUAUAUCCAAAUAAAGCUGUUUUUAAAAAAGUAAAAGAUCUAACCGAGGUACGUUGAAGACUAUCUCUUUUGGAGAUUCAGUUUUAGUUUCACCAUCCUUUAAGCAAUAAACUGUUUCCCUUUGCACAUCUGU